UACGUAGGGGGGCAAGCGUUGUUCGGAAUUACUGGGCGUAAAGCGCACGUAGGCGGAUCAGUCAGUUAGAGGUGAAAGCCCCAGGGCUCAACCCCUGGAACUGCCUUUAAUACUGCUGGUCUGGAGUCCGAGAGAGGUGAGUGGAAUUCCGAGUGUAGAGGUGAAAUUCGUAGAUAUUCGCAAGAACACCAGUGGCGAAGGCGGCUCACUGGUCCGGUACUGACGCUGAGGUGCGAAAGCGUGGGGAGCAAACAGG
rnacentral:rRNA from 1 species